rnacentral:lncRNA from 1 species
UUAGCACCACCUUUAAUCUAUCAGUGACCCACUCAAUUAGGUACUAGCUUUUUUUUUUACUUAUUAUUAUAUUAGAUACAAAACUAAACAGCUCCAUCAACCAACUGCUCAUCAUAAUAAUCAUUUUCUUAUCACUAGCUAAGCAACUGUACAGGCAACAACGUGGCCGCCGGUGGUCCUUCCGAUCAGGCGAUCACUCAGUCGGCGGCCUGCAUCAUGGACACAAGCGGCGCCGGCGCAGUCGUCCGGGAGCGGAACGAGGCCUUGGACUCUCCCCACCGCUCGAACAUCUGCCGCUCCGCCGCGUUCACCUCGCACUCCGGCAGCGCCGCCGGGUACCGGUCCGUGUCGUAGCACACCGUGUACACCAUCUGCCUCCGCCUGAACCGCCGCAUGUCCGCGCGCUUCCGUGCCGUCAUGACCGCGUACUCCGCCGUCAUCAGCUCCCACUCCGCCGUGGCGCACCGCUGCGUGGAAGCGCCGAGGUGGAGCUGGCGGAUGUCUGCGCCGGUGGCGUCGGCGGGGCAGCCGCGGAGCACGAGCCCCGAGAAGUCGGCGGUGAAGGGCCCGUGCCUGUAGUCCACCGUGUGCUUGCCGUUCUCGGUGGCCCAGGUGGAGCCAUCCCAGAUGGUCACGUACACCGCCAUGGGCUUGGACGGGUAGUCAGCGCCCAUGUCACUGUCGUCGCCGUCGGGACCCAUGCCGCCGUCCGUAAAACGACGGCGACUACGGCGGUGCUGCGCCUCGCGGACGGGGGUGCCGUCGACGUAGAAAACGACGGAACUGGAGGACCAGAGGAUGGAGAACCUGUGCUUCGCGGCGGUGGGGUCGAAGGGAAGCACGUACCGCUCCUCCCGGCCGCGCGCCGUGCUGCCGUUGCCGUACACGUUGGUCUGCAUCCGCCACCGGUGGCCCGCGCGGUUGCCGAGGAACUCGAAGUCCAGCUCGUCGUGGGUGGCCUCGAAGACGUCGCCGUUGGAGAGAUAGAAGGCAACGACGACGCCGGCCGUGUGGCCGGCGGGGAGCUUGACGUCCGCGCUGAAGAGCCCGUGGUGGUAGUAGCGCUUGGAGAUGAAGCCGGAGCCGGUGCUGCGGUCCAGGGUGAUGCUCACGGCGUCGCCGCCGGAGGAGCGAACCAUGUUUGACUCGCCGAAGAGCGGCGCGAAGGCCUCGUCGAAGGCCACCGUCGGCACCUCGUCGAAACCCGCGGCCGCGCAGAACACGGCGGCAUGCAUGCAGGAGGCGAAAAACAAUAGCAGCAUCACCGCUGCUGCCGCCAUGAUCAGUCGAAGGAUGGAAGUUUCUUGGCGCUGAUCAAUCGGCCGAUGCACCUCCUUGAGUAACAAUAUUGGAGGAGACGAGUUAAGUGGAAAGGGGUUUGGAUUUGUGUUUAUAUACGAUGUGAUGUCGCAAAAAUUGGUUGGUUUGGGGAGUAGAUAGGAACAUGACGGUGGAAAUGAUAGGGAGGUUAGAGAUGGUCGUAGCACCACGUAAUAAGCUAGGUGGAGGUUGGAGAUGGCACCGGCGGCGCCGCGCCGGUCCUUACCUGGUUGGCUGGGCUCACGGGACAUCUAUAUCUAUUUAUCUAAUGCAAGAUUCCAUUUUAUUUUAUACUCCCUCCGUCCCAAAAUUCUUGUCUUAGAUUUGUCCAAAUACGGAUGCAUCAAGUCACGUUUUAGUAUUAGGCACAUCCGUAUCUAGACAAAUUUAAGACAAGAAUUUUGGGACGGAGGGAGUAUUUCAUUUUUGCUUUUUGAGUAGGAUAUAAUCUUCUGGAUAGAAAGUUGUGGAAGUGUAUUAUUGUCUUGUUGAAAAGCCACCCAUGCAUAUCUGUAUGUACAUUAAUAUAUAUAUUUGCUUGAUUGAUUCCUUGAUUGUUUUAUCCAAGGAGUGAUUAUUUUCAACUUUUCAUGGUUGGUUCUUGGUUGUGUAGGGUUGUGCGUGUGUGUGUCUAAAGAGUAAAGACCAAUACAUCCACCAAGAUACAACUUUCUUGGAGAAGGAAUGGAUUUUGUUUAGUACUUUUCUUUUUUUACUUUUGCAAGAUAAAUCUCUUGCUAUGAGUGCUCUAUCACAUAAAUGAGGCUGCAGAAAUUUAAUUAGCUAAUGCUUUUUAUUUGCAUAUGCAUAUAUAUGUUGUAUUUGAUUUCUGUGUACAUAAAUAUUUGCAUAUAAUCAAACUCCUUGCACAGAACCUAGAAAAGGAAAGCUUGCUAGGGACAUGUGGAUAUGAUCGAAAAGAGCUGAUUGGGAUAUGUUAACUACCUACAUGCAUAGCGGUUGAGUAAAGUUGAGGUCUCAUUCACGGACGGUGCGUACUUAUAUAAGCGACGACGACUCAUCGAGCCGCCAGCGGUUGUCCACUGUGCUAGUACAAAAAAUAAAUACUUACGCAUGUCCUUCUCCAAAUUCUAACAUCAUGUAUGCAUGCUUUCCACAGUAAUUAAGCAACAAUUUCAGCCUGCGUGCAUAAUUACUGUUUCAUCUAGCCCAGGUAAUCCCCGCAUGCAUGGUUAAUUACUAGUUACUCCCUAGAGAUUUCGCUAGGUGGACUACAUACGGAGUAAAAUGAAUGAAUCCACACUUAAAAUGCAUCUAUAUACAUCCGUAUCUAGUUCAUAGUGAAAUCUCUACAAAGACUUACAUUUAGGAACGGAGGGAGUACUACUCUCUCCAAUCCAUAACCAUGUCGCAGUUUUGUUCUCCCUCCGUCCCAAAAUUUUUGUCUUAGAUUUGCCUAGAUACAAGAAUUUUGGGACGGAGAGAGUACUAAGGUUGCGACUUAUUUUGGAUCGAAGGUUGUAUUUUUUUUGAUGGAAAAUUAGUAGUUACUAUUGGAGUACUAGCAAGCUAGUGAUUCCUGAAAUUUGAGUAUGAACAGCUUUUUGUAUAAGUUUAGGGAACAAAUCAUGUAUCAUAUGUGAUCAUUGAACUGCAUGUGGGGGUGCAACAACUCCUGUUGUGGUAAGAUGCUAAUAGUCCGUGGGUACUUAACAACAACACCUACUAACUUAUUUAAGUGCAUUUUGACGGUUAUAAUUAGUUCUCGUCAAUCUUUCAUCAUGUGAACAAUAGAACAAAUAUAACUAUACACACAUAUGUUCCCAUGUGAACAAACCAAAAAUGGAGACGACAGAACAUGGGCGAUUGGCUGUUCUUUCUUGUUCCAUUAGGUCUGAUGAAACAAAGGAUAGUUUAUUAGUAGUAGCAUGCUGGUAAGGUAGCUAUCUGGCUAGGCAUCUGUGAGUGAAUAAAUAAAUGCAUGGGUAGCUAAGCAAGGACGUGACACAUAUUGGCGCGUAUUAAUUUGUAAUUAAGAGGCGAUAAAAGGACAAUGAGAUGCGAACUAUAUACAACAGAGACGUGAGCGAUCAACUACUGGUACUGCUUAGCUAGCAGCAUAUACACGUACACGUAUACGGCCAUGCAUGUAUGGUAGAGUAUAAUAAUAUCAAUACGGAUGGGACGGUGCAACCACUAUAGGUUGAUUGAUUUGCCAGUUAGGUAUACCUGAAGCAAGCCUUGGAGGCAAUAGGUUGUCAUGGAUUCCCAUGCAUUCAUUGGACACGCCUGGUCAACUACUUGCUAGCUAGUACACCCUCGGUUCAUUAAGAAAAAUCCAGCAGCAUUUACCUGCUAGUAAUAGAGGAGAGACAAGAGAGACACCUAGGGCGUGUUAGAAGAAUAUUGUGUUUAAGAUAGAGAUAGGAGUUAGAGAUAAAAUAUAUUAAAUCAUGUAUGACUUGUCUUCUACUCCAAGUCUUUCUCCCUCACAUGUACUUCUAUAUAUACCCUACACAUGGGUCAGGUCAAUACAACAAACAUUAGUCAUACUACAAUUUUCACAUGGUAUUAGAGCGGUUAGUCUUGAAAGAGUUAUCUGGUGAAAGAGUUCCUACUCCUCCGUAGAGGAGCCGCGGGUUUUAUUAAUCGAGGGCAGGAAUCACCCCUGCCGUGGUUUACAAGUCUUCUACCGAUCGCUAGGAUUCGGUAGGAUGAGAGAUAGGAGGUUACAAGGGAGAGGAAGAGAUAAGUAGUUUAAGAUUACAACAUAAUAUAUCUCUAUGCCUAACACCCUCCCUUAAUCUGAACUACCUAUCCUAGAUUGAGAUUGUUCUUGAAUGCUUCAAAUGGCUUGUACGGUAGAGCUUUGGUGAAACCAUAAGCUACUUGAUCUUUAGAAGGAAUAAAACGUAUCUCCAACUUCUUCUCUGCAACUCUUUCCCGUACAAAGUGAAAGUCUAUUUCGAUGUGCUUGGUUCUGGCAUGAAAAACUGGACUGGCACUCAAAUAAGUAGCACCCAAAUUAUCACACCAUAGGCAUGAGACACGAUGUUGCUUAACACCCAAUUCCUCAAGCAAAGACUCAACCCAAAUAAUCUCUGCAGUAGCAUUUGCCAAUGACUUGUACUCAGCUUCAGUACUCGACCUUGACACUGUUGCUUGUUUCCUGGCACUCCAUGAAAUAAGGUUAGACCCAAAGAAAACAGCAAACCCUCCUGUGGAUUUUCUAUCAUCACUUACAGCCUGCCCAGUCUGCAUCAGAGAUAGCACUAACCAGUGUAGAAUUGGAACGUUUGAAAUAUAGCCCCAAACCUACAGUGUGCUUGACAUACCGUAUGAUUCUUUUGACAGCUGUCCAAUGAGCAGAAGUAGGAGCAUGCAGGUAUUGACAUACUUUGUUAACAGAGAAUGAGAUAUCUGGCCGUGUCAAGGUCAAAUAUUGCAAGGCUCCAACAUCACUUCUAUAUCUGGUGCUUUCCUUCUCAUUAAGUGGUUCCCCUUCAUAAGAUGACAGUUGUUCUGAUGAGGAUAAUGGUGUGGGGGAAGGCUUGCGAUCCUUCAUUCCCAUCCGAGCCAAGAGUUCAGUGGCAUAUUUUUCCUGUUUCAACACUAUACCAUCCUGAACCUUCUUAACUUCAAUGCCUAGAAAGAAACUCAAAUCACCAAGAUCCUUUAAGGCAAAUUCCGAGCUUAGGUCAUGCAAAAGAGCAUCAGUAGCAUUCUGAGAAAAGCUUGCAACUAUAAUAUCAUCAACAUAUAUGAGCACAAAAAUGACAAUAUUUGCCUUAUUGUAUAUGAAGAGAGAUGUGUCAGCUUUUGAUGCAACAAAACCAAGGCGUUUCAACUGCAUACUUAACCUGGAGUACCACGCUCUAGGUGCUUGUUUCAAGCCAUAGAGGGCCUUGUCAAGCUUACAUACAUAAUGUGGUUUUUGCUUGUUUUCAUAACCUGGUGGUUGCCUCAUGUAGACCUCCUCUUCCAAAACACCAUGCAAAAACGCGUUCUUUACGUCUAGCUGUCUCAAGCUCCAUCCCCUGGACACAGCAAUUGCUAGCACAAGUCUUAUGGUUGCAGAUUUUAUCACAGGACUAAAUGUAUCCUCAUAAUCAAUACCAUAACGCUGCUUAAAACCUUUAGCAACAAGACGUGCUUUAUACCUGUCAAUGGAGCCAUCUGCCCUUUUUUUAAUCCUAUACACCCACUUACAAUCAAUGAUGUUUUUGCCUUUUUGAUUUGGUACCAAACGCCAUGUCUUAUUUUUCAUCAGGGUUGUAUACUCCUCAUCCAUGGCCUUUUUCCACUUUGGAUCUCCAAGUGCAUCAUCUAGUUUUGUUGGCUCUCCUGAAAUACACAGCAUACCAUACGAUAUUGUGCCAUCAGUUCUUAUUUUUGGGUUCUUGAUACCUUUUUGUAGCUGAGUUGUGACUCUGGAUGUAGCUGGUUGCUGCUGUACACGCGGGCGCACGGAUCCACUUGUCGCAGAAGAUCCUGGAGAAGAGACGGGCGUUGCCACAUCAGAUCCUGUGGUCGCAGGUGUGGCAUGUUCUUCCACGCCCGCACCAUCUGUGGCCGUAGAUGAUCCCGUGCCAGUCGGGCCAGGUGGGCCUGUUUGUUUCAUGCGCCCGCUGCGCCUCGCAGCGAUUGGCUGCAUGCGCGGGCCGCUCGAGGGAGAUCCUCCGCGUGAGGACGUGGCGGCUGCGGGGCGGCUCGCCCGCACCUGGCUCUCCUGACCGACCGGAUCGCGAUCCGAGGAGGAUAUCCGCGCGUGAUCCGAGGGAGAUUGACGCGCAGGGGUGGCAGGCGCCGCCAAAUCAUCCUCGAACGCUGCGCCAUCUUCGUCUUCUUCUUCUACAUGAAAUAUAGCCUCAUUUUGGAUGGGAUUUUGAUCAUUCUGACCGUUUUCUUCUCUGUUUUCUUCAGGUACCUGCACACACGGAAGACAAGAACUGGUUCCAGCAGGGAUAUUAUCAUCAUGUUGGUUUGUGCAAUUGUUUCCCCCAUGAUCAAAAGCUCGAAGUGUAGGUGGAAGAAGAAGAAUCUCUUGACGAAGAAGAGCGCCGGCAUUGGGAUGGAGAGAUUCAAAAGGAAAAACUGAUUCAUCGAACACAACGUCUCGAGAUAUAUAAACUCGGCAUGUGGAACAUCUAAGCACUUGACUCCUUUGUGCAUAGGGCUAUAGCCCAAAAACACACAUUUUUUUGAACGAAACGCAAGUUUGCGUGUGUUGUAAGGUCUUAAGUUUGGCCAACAUGCACAAACAAAGACUCGUAGAGAUUUGAAAUCUGGUUUUGUUCCAAACAAACGUGUGAUUGGACUUUCAAAUUUGAUGACUUUACUGGGUCGAAUAUUUAUGAGAUAGGUGGCAGUGAGAAAAGCUUCAUCCCAGAAUUUUAGAGGUAUGGAAGCAUUGGCUAGAAGUGCUAAUCCUACCUCAACAACAUGACGAUGUUUACGUUCAGCCGACCCGUUUUGCUGAUGAGCAUGGGGACAAGAGACAUGGUGAGAGAUUCCAAUUUUUUGAAAGAAGGAAUUUAGUUUCUCAUACUCACCACCCCAGUCGGUUUGCAUAGCAAGAAUUUUUGAGUCUAGUUGGCGUUCAACAAGAUUUUCGAAGUUGGUAAAGACUUGAAAAACAUCAGAUCUUUUCUUUAGCAGAUAGAUCCAGGUGAACUUGCUAUAAUCAUCAAUGAAACUCACAUAAUAAGAGAAUCUACCAACUGAUGUGGGGGCUGGUCCCCAUACAUCUGAAAAAAUAAGCUGCAAUGGAGCAGUGGAAACACUUGUUGAUAUAGGAUAAGGUAACUGAUGACUCUUGGCUUGCAUGCAAGCAUCACAAAUUGACUCAACGCUAGACUCAUAAGGUAGUUUAUUCUUGCUAAGAACAUGCUAAACUAUAACUGAGGAGGGAUGACCCAGACGACUAUGCCACCUUGCCGAGGAAGGUUUGGUGACACUCCAUGCUUGUUUAUUCGACCAUGAUGAAGAUGAAGAUGAUAUGAGUGCAUAUAGGCCCCUCUCGCAUUUUCCUCUAAGGAUGACUCUCCUCGUUGCCAAGUCCUUGAUCACAAAAGAGUGAGGAUAAAAUAUUAUGAGAACAUUGUUGUCAAGAGCAAAACGAUGAACGGAAACAAGAUUUUUGGAAGCAUGUGGAACAUGUAAGACAUUGUUAAGAUGUAGAUCUUUUACGGGGGUUUUGACAAUUGAAUUUCCAACAUGAGUAAUGUCCAUACCAGUUCCACUUGCCGUGUGUAUCUGAUCACCACCGUGGUACCUUUUCCGCAUCGUCAGCUUGUCGAGCUCCCCUGUGAUAUGCUCAGUGGCACCGGAGUCGGCAUACCAGUUGGUGUCGAUGCCAUAGUUGUUGGUGACGAGGUUGGCUGCCUUCUUUUCUUCAUGAUCAUCAUCGUACCGGUGCCAGCAGGCUCUUGCCCCGCCAGCAUGGAACUUGUAGCAGAUUUGGCACUCGGGGUAGUCGCCCUCUUGUUGCUGCUGUUUGUGGUUGAGGGCGAAAAUGUUGGUGAUGACCACCGCGGCCACCCCCGCGACUAGGAGAGGGAGAGGAGCGGUUUCCUCGACCGCGCCCCCCUCUGUUGCUUCGGCCACGGCCUCCCCUGCCGCAGGACUGCCCGCGCCCUCAUUGGCAGAGGAGCGGAAUCCUGCUGGACCGUCGCCCAGCAUCUCCAUCCGCUGAUCAAACGCAGCGAUCUGCGCAAAAAGGUCGUAGACAGUGAUGGAGUUUUUGAUGGCUCCGACCGCUGCCAUGAUGGGAUCGUAGUCCCGAUCAAGGCCAGCAAGGAUGUAGUCCACCAUCUCCGGGUCGGUUACCGGACGCCCAGCCGCAGCUAGCUCGUCCCCGAGGCUUUUCAUCUUGGCGAUGAACGCGUUGCUUGACAUGUUUCCUUUCUUGGUGUUGGAGAUGGCCAUCCACAGAUUGGUUAUGCGGGAUUGUGACUGCGCGGUGAAUAAAGUGGUAAGAGCAGUCCAGAGAUCGAAGGUACUAUCCUUACCGAUCACUUGCGCCAGGAUUUCUUGAGUGAGAGAAUUCAGCAGGUAGCUCAGAACCUGCUGAUCCUUCGACAACCACGGGCCGUACAGAGGAUUGAGCUCUAUGGCCGUGGUUUUGUCCGCCUUGGUGACUUCGAUGGUCUUUGGUGGUGCGGCGUCGCUGUCAUCGAGGAGGCCGGUCACUUGCGCGCCUCGCAGUGCUGGCAUGACCUGCGCCUUCCAUAGGAGGUAGUUCCCCCUUGCGAGCUUCUCUGUUGGUGGAGCACCUAGGUUGAGGCCGACGGCGCUCGAGCUCGUAGCCAUGGCGAUGGAAGGGUGUUUAGGGUUUCUGGUUUGCUAGACGAUAGGAAGAGACGUGGCUCUGUAUACCAUGAAAGAGUUAUCUGGUGGAAGCGUUCCUACUCCUCCGUAGAGGAGCCGCGGGUUUUAUUGAUCGAGGGCAGGAAUCCCCCCCGCCGUGGUUUACAAGUCUUCUACCGAUCGCUAGGAUUCGGUAGGAUAAGAGAUAGGAGGUUACAAGGGAGAGGAAGAGAUAAGUAGUUUAAGAUUACAACAGAAUAUAUCUCUAUGUCUAACAAGUCUCACGACGCCGAUUCUAGGACUUCUCACCACUUCUGCAGCGCGCCGCCCCGGGAAGAUUAAUCUCUUCUCCUCGGGGGCGCGGCACCCGAUCAAUCAAAGGUUAGAUCGUUCUCGUAGUUCAGAUCCAAUUUUCAAGUUCUUCAUCAGUAGAUCAAUUUCAGGUUUAAAAAUUCUCAUUAGAUUAGUUUUUCCAUUAGCCACCAAAAGAAUCCGGCGAUCCCUAGAUGCAAUACGUCCGGCGUAGGCAUCCAUUCGGAUCGCAUACACGGAUCUCCCGGCGGCUGCAUCUGCAUGGACUUCUUCGUCGAUCUGAUCAAGCCGUCGCCGAUAAACCAGGAAGCGGCACAAUCAUGCGGCGCGGCAGGCUCGGGCUCUACAUCGCUAAACUGCCCAGCCGCCACACAUACAAUCCGAUCAGCGCGUUGCUCAUGCAGGCGAUCUCCACACCGACGGCGCCCGAUGUACUUCACGGGCUGUCUCCGGGCAUCAGGAGGGACCAUGCACCGGCACCGGGAGGGCGGCGGCUUCCCGAUCCACCCAAAACAAGAGGAACAUGCCGUCCAUGCGUGUUGGCAGUACGUGAGCAAAGACGAGCCAAGUGCAAAUACAAUUAACGAUCGUCCAUGUUCAAGUCUCCAUGCAGGUUCCCCAGCCUCGUCACGGACUACACACGGACUCCACGAUUUGAUGGUGCACUUCCAUUCAGUUUUCCGUCUACGCGACUACGGCACACAGCAGCCGUCUUGUACGCGUACGUGACUACGACGCACCGGCCGAACUCGUCUACAUCGACAUUGACCCGCUACUUCUGCAUCGAGCCGGCUGACCUGCACCGACUGCACUGUCGCCCAUGCAAUCUUCGAGCCACGUCCACAAACCGCUGCACCAAGCUUCUGCACCAAACCUCAUGCCGCGACACCAAGCUAGCUGUACAUCUACGGGUACAUCGCGCCCAACAAAAAAAAUUCUUCGUCGAGUGCAUCUACAAGAAGCGAUCACGACUUGCAUCAUCCACAUGCCAGGCCGGUGUGGAGAGAGAUGCAAUCCUUCUUGACUUCUCCGGCAAGACACGGCAUCGACACUUCGUCGCCGCGGAGGGACGCCUUCAAGCGACGCAUCAUCGUCGACACGCCGCUGCUACGCCAACGCCGACACUUCAUCGCCAAGGUCUUCAUCAACGUGGUCUUCAUCAACACACCGUCACUGCUUUGUCCACAAGAUGGACACCUAGCGUCACAGACUUUUCUGCAAGACGCGACCACGACGACGGCAAUGACCGCGUCACGACGACGGCAUCGACCGCGUCAUCCACGACAGCACGACUGCAUCGACAUGGCGUCACUACAGUGACGACCCUACACGGCCGCACGGUUCUGGCAAAACUGAUGUGUGCUCGAUGAGUUUCCUCUGGUCCUGGUCCUGGCAAAACUGGUGGACUCAUCACUGACGGCACCCUCUGACAUCCGCAAGGUGCAUCGUCCACGACUGCAGCUCCGUCCUCUACAACAUAGAGCAUUUUUUUUGCGCCUCCGGCUUUGUGCGGCUUUAUCAUUCAUGACGACUACUUCAUUGACCACGACUGCCUCGACCACGGCUACAUCAUGAUCGGCUACACCGACAUCGACACACACGACCACGUCUACAGCAACACAUCAGCGACAACUCCAGUCAAUAGCGUCCGCGUCGUCACCAGCAUCCACGCCACUCCCGCUGUGACUGCGGGAGGGAAUAGAGGAGAGACAAGGGAGGCACCAGAAAGGGACGCAGUCACCGCCCUAGGUGUCGACCCACCAGAGACGUAGUGAUGAUGGCGCAGCGGAGAAGACGACGGAAACAAGACUUCCAACUCAGUCGUAAUCGCCCGUUUCACUCCCGCUACGACUGAGGGGGAAUGUUAGAAGAAUAUUGUGUUUAAGAUAGAGAUAGGAGUUAGAGAUAAAAUAUAUUAAAUCAUGUAUGACUUGUCUUCUACUCCAAGUCUCUCUCCCUCACAUGUACUUCUAUAUAUACCCUACACAUGGGUCAGGUCAAUACAACAAACAUUAGUCAUACUACAAUUUCCACACUAGUCACUUGAAAUAAAAAAGAAAAGUUAAGUAUUGGGCAGUCCUCAUGCAUGAUUACGGACCUGUUCUAUGGUACACGUAAAAUAAAGUGUAGCUCAUAGUAUAUAUAUUUUUCUAACUAUGUGUAAUCACAAGUAGUGAGAAUUUAACUUGGGGAUUUUCAUAACAUAUUUUGCAUAAACAUCUCAUAUUAUUGACUCGGGGUGAAAAAUGUAGGAAAAUAAUCAUGAAUGCAGGUUAUGAACUACCAAUUUACAAAAAGAUAAAUAAUACCAUUCGUCGUGUCUUUGUGCGCAUUUGGACGGAGAUCAAGACUUAGAUGGGUUUGACCGGUGUGGACAUCACCGACCGGAGUAGCUUCGACAACGUCAACGAUUGGUGGCAUCACUUGGUAGGCGUCAACGGCAAUGUGAGAAAGGGUCUCGCAUCUCUCAUCAUGUUGGUUUCAUGGAAGAUUUGGAAUGAGCGGAAUGCAAAAGUGUUUAGAAAGGUGUCUUCCAUGCCUAGAAUCAAGGCGGAGGUCAGACUUUGGGGGUUGGCAGGAGCCAAACGUUUGAGUUCUCUUAUCCCGCGAGAGUAGACUUCAUGUAAUUCAAACUCUUCUUAAUUAAUGAGAUGAGGUAAAUCUUUUGCCUUCGUUUCGAAAAAAAAAGACAGAGCACAUGAAGAUCUGUCCAUCCAGGGUACACAAGUUGAAGAUCUGGGAUGCGAAACGCUAUUUUCUUUUCCAAUCUAAGCCCCCAAUUUAUUUUUCUAUGCAAUUUUUUUAUAGUGUGGGUGGGCAGCGCCCCCCUCUACUGACCAACGGCAACGGCGACCAACAUGUUAGCUAAGCAGGUGGAUCCUCACUCUACCUCAGUAUAACCUCACGUGGAACCACCUACUCUCUGCUCACCGUCAUCACCAGAAGCCUUCUUUCUUCAAGGGCCAGGACAAGACUAACAAUAUUUAUUCUCUUUCUCUUUCGAAAUUUUGUUGAUAUGUUGGCUUUUCAAGGCCUCCUGCCAUUUGAAAAAGGUUCUGAAACAAAACGGACCAUUUCCUGCAUUUCUAACAACUCAUCACUAAACCUGGAGCCUAUCCUAAUUAAUCUCAACUAAAUCAACAAGCUAGCUAGCUAUGGCUAGUCUAGGCUACUCUGAAUCUUCGAUCUACUAGGCCGGGCUCUGUUGCUACUACUGCCCCAGACGCUUGUUCAUCGUGGGGGUCUUCAUCUCCCAUGCACGCAGGUUGGUGAGCUUGAUGUCUGACUCGCCAUUGUUGAAGACAAAUAGGUGUGCGUUGUCCCCGACGGCCUUCCUCGGGUAGACCCUCGUCAGGAUGCACGUCUUGCCGCCGGCGCCAAAACUUUCCACGACAGAGUGGUCGAUCUGAAAUGUAUUCCGCGACAUGGCUUACAACCCUCUUGCAAUGGUGUAUUCAGUAAAUAACUAAUUCAAUGUAGUUUUUGUGGUUACGUACCAAUGUCCUGAGGGCGAUCUUCUUGGUCUUGGUUAUGUCGACGUUGACGAAGCCGGCGAAGGUCGGCCUGUAGAUCAGCGACUCGUACGACGACCUGCGUGAUCGAUCAUUCAGGAUUACUGGACCUAGAGUAAUACAUAUACAAAAACGUGAAUUGAGUGAGUUAUAUGCAUGGGAUCUACCUUGUAGGGUCGUUGCACAUAAGCACGACGUAGCUAGUGUCGUUGUUCUUGAAUACCCUGAAGAAAACAGCUGUUCUCUCCUUGAGGUCGUCAGAGGCGAGCAACCAGAGACCAAACGGCCCGACGCCGCCCUUAACAUGUGAGUUGAGCUUCUUGCACAGCCCUUGCGCGUCUGUCUGCCACGCGGUGUCGAACUUCUCUGCCUUCUCAAGGUUCUUGAUCACGAACGCCGCCUCCACGUCCGACUGGCAUAUAUAGCAGUGGCUCAUCAUUCACUAACAAUUCAUAGGCGCCCCCGAGUUUAUAUCAUGUGUAUAUACACUAUUGUACUGACCUGCACGGAUUUGAAGCCGUCGAUCUUGAAGUACUCGCCACCCUUGACGGCCUUGUUGCUGACAUUGACGUGCUUCGCGCGCAAUGACUUGAUCUCCUCUACCGGCCACUGAAUUAGCUGCCUCCCGCUCCGUGACAGGAAGAUCUUCCUCGGUAUCGCCUAAAAAUUCAGAAACAACAAUACAUUUAAAUCUCAGUACGUGAAGAACCAUAUGAAGGUCAGGGGGGCGCUCCCCCCCGGCCUUGGAAACAAUAGCAAAGACAUUCUGUUCGUGUGAUGCAAAUGUGGAUGUGUAGUGACCUGGAUGCCGGCCCAACCCUUGUUGCGGUCGUCGGGGACAGUGUCGGAUUCAUUGGCCCAGCCCCAGAGCACGCGGCGCUUCUUGACCGGGUCAUAGAACGACUUCGAUGCAUAGAAGUCGCCGUAGUCGUAUCGGAGACCGUAGUCAUUGUCUGGGAAGUCGAGGUCCGGGGUGUACCUGUCCUUGGCAUGGUCGUACCAGCCAAUGGUGUAGUACUCGUAGCGCGUUACGUCGAGGCUCACCUUGAGCACAUAUUUUACCUCCGCAGCGACUGUGCUGUCAUGCAGCUCUCUGGUGUCCACACCGCUCCGGUGGUGACGUCUGCCGCCGGCCACCGCCACGGGGUAAAAGUCUGGGCACUCCCACAUCCCCGUGAGCCCAGCGUGCAGCGAGUGGUGUGCCUUGAUCCAUCUCCUAAAGUCACGGCUCCGGUACAACACCGCGAUCCCCCUCAUGUUCUCCUUGCUGCCCACCACCAGCCUCCAGUGUCUGCAAAUCAAUCACUCACAUCAGCGUGUAGCAUAAUCUUUAUGUAAAUAUCAAGCCGACAAAAUAUUUACAAAUGUAUGCACACGUGUGUCAACAUGGCAUACGAUACAAUAAAAAGUGAUGUGGAUGGUAAUGUACGUACCCGUCUGGCCCGUACCAAGCGGUGGUGGGAUCACGGAAGGCGCUGGCGUUGAUGCCGUGGUCGGGGUUGAUGAUGGGGUUAUAGUCGGGCUUGACCCACUUGCGGAGGAAGGGGUCGGAGAGGUUGGCCGGGUACGCGACGUUCUGCACCUGGCGUUCCUUGGGGUCGAUGCCUGUGUACAUGAUGACCGGGACGCCGUUGGGCAGAAUGGUGGCGGAGCCCGACCAGCAACCGUUGAUGUCGAACGGCUUGGACGGGUAGAUCCCGGGCUCCAACGCCACCCAGUCGACGAGGUCCGUCGACACCGAGUGCGCCCAGAUGAUGUUCCCCCACACGGCGCCCUUUGGGUUGUACUGGUAGAAGAGAUGGUACAGCCCCUUGUAGUACAUCGGCCCUGCAGCAUCCAGACGUUGAGAUGUCAUUGGGUCAUACAAUGUGCACAACAGAUAGUCAUGCAAAACUGAUUACUGAUUCGUCAUUUGAGCAAUAGAUAGAUGCCGAGAUGGUCAAUUUGUAUGGGUGCACGUACGUACCAUUUGGAUCUGAUCAAUCAUUGCAUCGUCGUUGUGAAGGGUAGGUUCGAUGUCAUCCAAUUAGCAGAGGUCACACAAAAGAAAUUGUGUCGAGUGAGUAACAUACGUACUAAAGAGACUGAUGGUGAAACGAGGAAAUAUUUAUUCCACACAUACGUACCAUUGAUCCAAUGCUUGGGGGGCUGGAAGUGGUACCCGGUGCGCAGCUCCUUGUCCACCUCCGUGGCCUCCAACGACUGGAGCUCCGGGUAGACGACAUGCGACGCGUGGACCGCCAACGCCGUGCAGCACAACAGAGACACGAUCAAUGGCGCCGCCGCCGACGCCAUCCUCGUUACUAGAGCAGAGCGCGUGCAAUUUUGCAAACUAAAUUAGGAGGACGUUUAAUCCGCAACCUAAUUUCAGAUGCACGUGGGGGGUGCUAAUUUCAGAUUAAGAAGUCAACAUCUCAAGCAGAUAUGGCAUGCACGAACCUGGAUUGGAUCGGCCGAUCUUGCGUCGCGGAGGAGGACGGGUGGAUGGAUUGAUAUGCGGAGGUUGAAGAGGAACGACGAAGGAUCGGACAUGGCUUGCUGGUGGAUUUAUAGGCCGGGUGGGGGGAGAGUGAUAGAGUCGACGCUCGCGCGAUGCGGCGGCGGGGUAGAGUCUUUGUGGAUGAGGGCGAGGAGCGAGCACGUCGGGAGCAGUUGAGGACGAGGUCGCUCGCUCGACUGGGGCUGAUCCGUUCGUGCAUGGCGGCGCUCGUUUCUUCGCGCGCUUCGUUCGGUUCUGGGCCGCCUCCGCUGGCUAGGCCCAAAUUCGUAGUAAAAUCUCAAACACCAUACAUGGGCCCAAGUUCGUAGUAAACGGGUUCUUCGCGACAGCAAACACUCUGCGCUUCAGCUGGGAAGCUUCUAUGCACCAGUUUUAGAAGCGUCCAUGCAUUUUCUUUUUCUUUUUUUUUUCUCUUUAUUUUCUGUAUCAAUUUUGUUGUUUUUUUGGCGUUUUCCUUUUUAUCUUUUGCUAUUUAUUUUUAUUUAUAUUUUCCAAUAUAUGUCACUUUUUCUGAAUAAGUUAAACAGUUUUUAACAAACAUUGAACAUUUUUACCGUACGGGUUGAAAGUUUAUCCUAAUACAUGUUCAACAUUUGCAAAUUCGAAAUUUUUUAUAUGGAGAUUGAAUAAUUUUCAGACAGAACUUGAAUUAUUUUUAAAUACUAGUUGGAAAGUUCCAAAUACAUGUAGAAGUGCAUGUUGUAGCCAAUGCAACCAAAAGACCGAUCUGAUGGAAGAGACUAGGCGAUACAUUUAUACGUCAACAAUACAUAUUGAACUUUUUUUCAAAUGUGCAAUGAACAUUUCAAAAAUACAGGUGAACAUUUUAACAUAUUUAACAUUUUUGCAUGAAUUACGAAACAUUUUAACUCGGAACCUGUGGGGUGUGGGAAAUAUCCUCGUCAGAUGACCAAUUGUGUAAACUUACUUAAAAUGUCACAAACAUAUUUAUGAUGUAUGAAUAUUUUAUGUCGACGGACAAUUUUUUCAAUCAUAUGAACAGUUUUUACAAAUUCUGUGAAGAAAAUAUUCAUUGUCAAGAUUAUUAUUAAAAAAAGCAUGUCAAUAUUUUUGAACGUGCAAACAUUUUUUAAAUGCCAUGAACACUAUUUCUAUAUGAUAGAAGUCUUUUAUACUGCAUUAUCAUUUUUUUAAAGGAGCAAUGAAGACUUCGAAAAUUUGAAGUAAAUUAAUUUUGGAAUAUAUGCAUUUGAAUAUUUUGAAAUAUAAAACAAAGUAAAAAUAAAUAAAAAGGGAAAACACGAACAAAUGAAUGAAAGAAAAAAAUGAAUGAAACGACUGCUACAGGGCUGGCCCACUAUGAGGUUGCCUGAGGCGAGCUGUGUGUUCGUCUCCCUUGCUGGUGAGAUACAGACGCUCCCGACAUGAGCUGACUCACAUCACACCCCUACAGACAGGCAUAAUAAUAUCAUGUCCUAUUCUCGAUUAACUCAUUUUUGCGUGUGCCUAUUUCACUUAUCCUUUUGCUCUAUCUUCUGAAAUUUAAAUUUUUGCCACCGGGUAGGGAGAAGAACGUUAUAUGCCUAUACUGUGUUGAUUCAAAUGCCACGACGCGGUCUCCUUGGGCCCUGGACAUUGAUGCAUCGGACAAAGCACCACCCCGCCGCCUUCCUUCUUUCCCAUUGCUUUCCUCCGCGGAUCCUCUUUGGGGUAUAGCAACCUUGCGUGUACCCCUCAGGGAGCUCCCAUGUGGCAGCUUAAGCGCCACAUGGCGGAACAGCCGCUCACGCGCCCAUGCCCAUGGGACAGCUCAUAUCGGAGGCGAGCCUUCGACCGUGACUGGUUUCCUCCUAGUUGCUCCAUCGCAUUUUGACCGGUCGCAGCUGAAUAGUUGACUGGUCAACCGUUGACUUUUGGAAAAAAUACGGAAAAUGAGAAAUAAAAAAAUUCAUGACAAAAAAAUGUUCAUGGAUUUAGAUUUUUUACCAAAAAUUAAAGAAAACCCAUGAAUUUGAAAAAAAUAUCUAUGAUUUCAAAUAAGAAAUAAUCAAAUUUAAAAAAGUCAAUGCAAAUUGAAAAUAAAUUCAUCAAGUUUGAAUUUUCAAAUAUUGAAUAUUAUUUCAAAUAGUGAAUAUUAUUGAAAUCCGCUAACACUCUAUAAGUUUUGUGAAUUUGUUUUUUAAUUGUAAACAAUUUUUCAGGCAUCCGAACAUUGUUUUGAAAUUAUGAACAGUUUUAUUGAAAUUAUAAACAUUUCUGUGAAACUCAUGAACAAUUUUUUGAAUUGGUAAAUUUAUUGAAAAUCUGUAAAAUAGUUUUUAAAUGGACAAACAUUUUUUGUGGUUUUGACGAACAUUUUUUAAACCAACGAACAUUUUUUGGAAGCGAUGAACUAUUUUUUAAAUUUGCAAACAUUUUAUAACUUUAACAACAUUGUUUUAGAAUUCAUGAACCUUUUUUUGUUCACUGAAAUUACUUGAAAUUCACGAGAAUUUUUAAUACGCAAAAUUCUUAAAGAAAUUAUGAACAUUUUCUAUUUCCCGAACGGUUUUUGCAAAUCAUGAAUUUCUUUUGAAUAUACGCAUAAUAUUUCAAGAUCACUAACGUUGUUUAAUCUGCGAACAUUUUUCUGAACCAUGAACAGUUUUUGAAUAGACAAAUAUUUUAUAAUUUCUAGAAAAUUUUAUUCAAAAUUCACAGUAUUUGUAAUUUGGAACUUUGUUGAAAUCCUGAAUUAUUUUAAAGAGGAAAACACGAAAACUUGAAAGAAAAUGGUAGAAAAGGAAAUGAAAGAAACAGGGGGCGUUCCGCAUCUUCGCGGCUUGCACUGAGUGGUAUAGGAAAUCCCGUUUUCCUGCUCCUCGCAUGGCCGUUGAAAGUGCAACUAUCCCUAGAUGGUUUUGGUAAUUCAUAACAAUAUAUAGCUCAUUGAGCUAAUACUAUUUCAAGACUAUUAUUUCAGGAAGCUCAAUGAAUGGCAUGGCAUGGAUGAUGAAAGUGGAUCCCUCAAAUUAUCAAGGACAAAGGAUUGGCUCAAGCUCAAAAGCUCAAGACUCUACAUUUUAUAUUUCAGUGAUCCAAGAUCACAUUGAGUCUAUAGGAAAAGCCAAUACUAUCAAGGAGGGAUGAGGUGUUGCUUAAUGAGUCUCUUGCUUCAUGUGCUUAGUGAUAUGCUCCAAAACCCUCAACUACUUUCUCACAUCCACAUAUGACCUAAACCUAAAGCCAAAAUCGGUCACAUCGAUUCUUUCUAUCCGGCGCCACCGAGUUCAGAUGUCAUAGCCACUACCACAAACCCUAGGCAAAUCGGUCUCACCGAUAGGGAUCUCGGUCUCACCGAGAUGAGAUUGUAAUCUCUCUAUUUCCCUUCGUAACGUUUCGGUCUAACCGAAGUGAGGGAUCGGUCCCACCGAGAUUGUAAUGUAAACUCUCUCUUUCCCUUUUGUAACAUUUCGGUCUCACCGAAAAGAGCAAAUCGGUCCCACCGAGUUUACCUGACCAACUCUCUGGUUAGCUAAUUACCAAAAUCGGUCUUACCGAGUUUGUGUAAUCGGUCUCACCGAGAUUACGUUAUGCCCUAACCGUAAUCAUAUCGGUCCUACCGAGUUGCAUUUCGGUCCUAUCGAAAAUCCUAACGGCCACUAGGUUUACUAAAUCGGUUUGACCGAGUUUCACUACAGGAAACAGGUAAUUUGCCGUCUGUGGAUCACAGACGGCAAAGACGUAAAUCCAGACGGCAAAGAGUUUGCUGUCAGGAAGUAGACGGCAAAGUCAGACGGCAAAGAUUAAUCGGCAAAAAACACUUUGCCGUCUGCUAUUUUUUCUAGAUGACGGCAAAGACUUUGCCGUCAGCCUAUACUGUUUGCCGUCAGCCAGCAAAAUCAAACGGCAAAAAAUGGCAACAGACGGAUGAACGGACGGACAGACGGCAAAAGAUUACUUGGGUCAUUAAAGGUACGAUUUAGGGCCUAAAGGCUAUUGUAGAAGUAUGCAUACCUUGCGUCGUCAUUACUCACACGAUCGGUGGAAGAUAGUAAAACAGGACCAUGUACACUCAUGGGCUAUACAUGCGUGUGCGAAACUGCCUUAUUGCUAUUUCUCGUUUUUCAUCUAGAUUUCUUUCAUUUUCUCUCGGAUUUUCACUAUUUUCCAAUACACAUUUUUCGUAUAUAUCUAAUACCCUUUUUAUGCAUGUUUAUCAUUUGUUAAAUACAAGUUUAACAUUUUAAAUACAUGAUCACAUUUUUUCUAUUCACAUUUUUAAUGCUUAAUUAACACUUCUCAAUCCUAGAUUAACACUUUUAAUACAUGGUCAACAUUUUUCUAUAAUUUUUUAAUAUUCUUGAAAUGCUUGAUUAACGUUUUCAAAUAUAAGAUUAACAUAUUUUUAUAUACAAGAUUAAAAAAAUUGAAUAGAGGUCACCAUUUUUAUACAAAUUGUUAACAUGUUUUUUUAAAUGCUUGAUUAACAUUUUUUUUCCAAAUACAAGAUUAAUUUUUUUUUGUAUAGGGUCAUCAUUUUUCCUAUAUACGUUUAACAUUUCUCACAUGCUUGAUCAACAAUGUUCACAUACUUUUUCAAUAAUUUUUCAGUUGCUUGAUGAACAUUUUUUCAAUUGAUUAACAUCUUGUAGUACAUGGUCANNNNNNNNNNNNNNNNNNNNNNNNNNNNNNNNNNNNNNNNNNNNNNNNNNNNNNNNNNNNNNNNNNNNNNNNNNNNNNNNNNNNNNNNNNNNNNNNNNNNNNNNNNNNNNNNNNNNNNNNNNNNNNNNNNNNNNNNNNNNNNNNNNNNNNNNNNNNNNNNNNNNNNNNNNNNNNNNNNNNNNNNNNNNNNNNNNNNNNNNNNNNNNNNNNNNNNNNNNNNNNNNNNNNNNNNNNNNNNNNNNNNNNNNNNNNNNNNNNNNNNNNNNNNNNNNNNNNNNNNNNNNNNNNNNNNNNNNNNNNNNNNNNNNNNNNNNNNNNNNNNNNNNNNNNNNNNNNNNNNNNNNNNNNNNNNNNNNNNNNNNNNNNNNNNNNNNNNNNNNNNNNNNNNNNNNNNNNNNNNNNNNNNNNNNNNNNNNNNNNNNNNNNNNNNNNNNNNNNNNNNNNNNNNNNNACCGAAGAAAGCCUAAAAUCACUAAUUGAGGAGCACUCCUUCCAAACAUUAUUUUCACCCUCCCCGGGUUGCCACAAGGGGCACGCUGCAUGUGCGUCACUUGUUGCAACCUGGUAGUUUUUCUCUUUUUUCGUAGAUUCGUUAAUUCAAAACGUUUUAUCUCUUAAACCAUGUGGCCAAAUCUCGAACCAUUUUCACCAUGGAUUUCUCGCAUCGAGAUCUUCCAAUUUAGAUCCAAUGUUGAUAGGUUUUGAUGAACUUUUUUUCACAAAAAAAGGACAACAAAAUCGGGCCAGGAGCAUUUUUUUCCUUUCCGAAACCCGUUUCCGAGAGGCACGGCCGUGCCUCUCACGGAAGCAAAACCGUGCCUCACACGGAAGGAAAAAAUACAUUUUUUUUCGUUUCUGAGAGCACGGUCUUGCCUCUCGCGGAAGCAAAACCGUGCCUCUCACGGAAGGAAAAAAGACGCAUUCGCUUUUUCGUUUCCGAUAGGCACGGCCGUGCCUCUCACGGAAACAAAACCAUGCCUCUCGCGGAAGCAAAAAAAGGAUUUUCUCGCGCGAUUUUUUUUCAUAAUUGUUUUGUCCAAAAGCUAAGAAAGACAGAUAGAAAACCAAAAUGCCAAAAAAGACAAGAAAAAAACCAUCUGAAAAUACGAAAACACGUGCAAAAAAAUUUAAAAAAAAUCGAAGGGAGCGCCAAGUGAUGCGCUCUCAGCCCACCCCAAGUGACCCUUGGGGAGGCUUCGAAGGAGCGCUCCUCAAUUAGUUGCUCUCAAGAAAUCCUCACCUAGAGUGUUUUGCUUAGCGGGCUGGCCAAACAGUACCUCUUUCCUUAGAACCCUUCUACGGACCGGUUAUAGGAACAUUCUACUCGGUUUCGAAAGGUUCUUCACUUUUUUCUGUUUUUUCUAUCAGAAUUAUUUUUAUUUUUUAUGUUCAGUUUUUCGCAUUGUCAUUUAAAAACAUAUUGUCUUUUUUAAUUUACCCUUUUCGUAAAUACAUGCUGUAAUUAUAAAAAAAAUGUACAUAAGGUUUUUAAUACAUGUGAAUCAUUUAUCAGAUACACGUCGAGCAUUUGAAGUUCAGGUUCAAUAGAUUUAUGAACAUGGGUUAACAUAUUUAUAGUGAACACUGAACAUUUUUUUAUAUACUGGUUUAUCAUUUUUUAGACACUCAUGGAACAUUUUAGAAAAUGUCAUGAACAUAUAUUUAAACGUGAAAACAUUCUUUACAUGUCAUGAAUAUUUAUUUGAAUGGUACGAAACAUUUUUUAAAAAUUACUUGUACAAUAUUUCACAACUCAUAAUUUUCCUUGCAAAAAUGUCAUGAACCUAUAUUUUUUUUAAACAUGAAUACUUUUCAAAUGAGAUAAAUAUUUUUUACUUUCAACAGCAUAUUUCUAAACAUAUGUACAAUUUUAAAUUGUCAUAAAUAGUUUUUGAAUCAUAGGGAGUUUUUUAAACUGCAUGAACAAACUGUUACAUUGCACGAAUAUUUUUAUUGUGCGGUGAACAUUUUGAAAAACCAAUUAAAUUAGUUUUCGAAAAUUAUAAGCAUAUUUGAUUAAAAAUUUUGAAAUAAAAAAUAAGUAAAAAAUAAAAAAUAAAAAUAAAUGAGCCGAGCGCAGAAGAGGAAGAAUGGAGAAGCAACUAGGGCAGAAUAGUACAACAUUCCUUUACGCGAGACGUCAUUCUGUCUCGCUAUAAGUGAGACAUAGAUGUACCUGCUAAUGUUGACUUGGUGGCGUGGGCCAUGGGAAAUUAUAUGUAUCUCUUAUAGCAGUACAUAUAUGCAGAAAUCGCCGACUAGCCCCAGGCCAUCAGUGGAGGUUGUAGUUAUGGAGGAGGUUUCCUCCAGAUUUAGGAAGCUUCUAGAAACUUCUGCUUGGUUUUGCCAAGAUUCCAAAAGGUUCUUGGUUUUUCACCGAUUUUUCUUUCUGUUUUAUGUUUCCCAUUGUAUGCUUUAUGUUUUUUUCCUUUUCGAGUUCAUACACUUUUUCAAACUCGUUAACUUUAUUAUAUUUUUUUUCAAAUUCAUAAAAAAAUUCUGAUAAAUUAAAUGUUUUUAAAAUUUGAAAAAAAAUCAAACUCAGGAAUAUCUUUCAGUUUCAUGAACAUUGUUUUGAUUUUACAAACAUUGUUUUGAUUUUACAAACAUUUUUUGAAUUCUUCAAUACAUUUUCAUAUUCAAUAACAUUAAUUCAAUUUCACAAUAUUUUUCAAAUUUCACAAGCUUUCUUAAUUUUUUGAAUAUUUAAUUAUUUUUUGAAUUCAUAGACAACUUUGAAUCCAUGGAUACAAUUUAGAAUUCAUCAUCAUUUUUAAAAUUAAAUGGAACCUUUCAGAAUUGAAUGUUGAAUGAAACAUCAGUUGAAAAAAGGAACUAAAUACGGCCGUUAGUUAAAGAAAGAAGAAAAAAUGUUUUUUUUCUCCGUGGCAAUAAAAAUAGGAACUAAAAUGAAGUGGAAAUGUGCGUUGGGCCAGGCCCAUGUAGCAAACAAAUGAGGAGGACAAAUGUUAGCUCACAGUGGCAAUUGCCACAAGACAAGUGUAUCAACUGUAAAUCUUGACAAAAACGACUCAACAACUCUGGACACAUGCCACAAGAUAAGUGCAUCAACUAUGAAUCAUGACAAAAGCAACUCAACAACUCUGUCUCCAAUGGAUCAUGCUAGUCAUUCACUAGGAGACAAAUGGAGAAGCAUAAAGAAGGAUGUGGACAAUAGGAGGAGAAGACAGAUCCGGCAUAACCAUGGAUGUACUUAGGUAUAUGGACAAGUGAAAACGACACGACCACCAACAGAAAACAGUAGGAACCAACCAAUGCCAGCCAAUAGCCACACAAACUUACAACGAACAUGCAUUCCAACUCACGGAAGCCUAUCUAACUACCUACCUUGUUAAUAGCAUUAUAUAUCCCAUCUUCAUUCACGUUGCUCGCUAGGAAACAUUUGCGCUCUUUGCCGCCCGUCGAUGGGGAUGACCGUGCAUUUGCAAGGUGAGGGAUUCUUUCUUACUUGUCCCCUCCCAAAUCAAACACAAUCGAGAGAUUCUCAGUUCAACUGGAUGUUUGAGUUAAAUAUAGUUGUUGCAUUCCAAUCCAAACCGCAUUUCGUGCAUUACUAAUUGGUUUGAUGUUAAUAUUUUCUUCGUUGAUUUUUGGUUUUGGGAUAUCUAAAUGGAAUUGCUGCCUUGUGUUUGAUGUCAAUAUUUGGCAUGCUAAUUAUUAGCAAAUCUAAAAAGUUUCCUACCAAUUGGUUGUCUAUCAAGUGGUUCUUGCCAAUUUCUAGAAAGAUUGUCAAUUGUUGGCAAAUUUUUAAUUUUGCCAAAUAUCGCAUCAAACCAAUUAGUACAUCCAUCGAUUGAGUAGUUCAUUCGUAUUAAUAUCCAUCUAUCCAUCUAUCUUUUCCUGUGAAUGCCCAAGUGUUAAUUUGACUAACUUUGCUUUAUAAAUGUUCCUUAAUUGUCUGCUGCUUGGUUGGAUGCUGCUGUUGUCAACUUACUCUUGAUGUGUGUCUUGACAGUGUAAGUCCAUGAAUCAUUCCAUUAUUUGUUAGGUUCAUUAAUUAUUCAUUUUGUUUCUUAUGAUUAAUUAGUGUUAUGCAAUUACAGCUGGCUUGCUGGCCUUGCGUGUAUGUUCUCCACCAGCAUUGUUUUCCAAAUCCUGGUAAGCCAUGUCCACUCAAUUGCCUCUAAAUCUCCUUUUUCCUUCUACAAAUUGAAUCAGGUCUCUGAUAUUAAUCUUAGAGAAAGUACAAUGUAAAUCUAUUAACUAGUUUCUACAAAGUAUCACCCCUAAAACAUAUCCUGUAUAUUCCACUCAACUGAGUAUAUUUCAAUGAUAUCCUAUAACUAUGUUCGCUUUGAAACCGUUAUAAUAAAAACAACUAGUUUUCGUACUGCUAGUUUUAAUGUAUUUGAAAUAGCAAAGGAAAUUGUCGUCAUAGCCGAUAUUAUCAUAAGACUUUGUGAAUAUGAUAGGAUAACACUGGUAUGAGUUUCGAAAUAUUUGGUCAUCUCAGAAUGAUUUUUCCUUCUUCCUAUAAGUAGGACCUAACUUGACCUUUCAUGCUGGCCCCGAAUGUCUUAGGUACGACCUUGUAGGAAUGGAGAGGGAGUCUUCUUCUGCCCACAAUUUCCAAAGGUCCCCUCCAUUGUCAGCAAGAGGUACAGGACUGACUACCACUUCCAACCCCCGAAGAACUGGAUCAAUGGUACGUUUACCUCUGAUUCCUUUUUAAGUUUCCUCUAUACUUUCUGUUGAAUUUUGUCUGUGACCAAUCAGAUAUAUUUGGUGUGCUUUUCUUGUUCUGUUGGUCCAAGUUAAAUUGGUCAAUGUUUCGACUAAUUGGAAUAUUCAAUAAUAUACUUGUUAAAUCUAGUAGCCGAUCUUAAUUUGGUGUGCCAAUAUUCAAUAAUAUACUUGUUAAACCAAAUUAUAUUUAGAAAUGUAAUAUGAGAUUAAACAUGGAUGUGUUUGCAUUCAAUAAUGUACUUGUUAAAUCUAGUAGCCGAUCAUAAUUUGGUGUGCCAAUAUUCCAUAAACUUUUGUACCAUUUUACCAAUAACCAAAUGAUAUUAAUUGUACAUUUGUUGCACAUUGACAUUCUCUCACUUUUUCAUAUAUUUGAUGUAUUGGCAAUGCGCGGAAAUCUACGACAACAAAAAGAUAUCUCCGGCAUAAAUAAAAAGAAGAAGAACUGCAACAUUCUAUAUCUUAUAUUGUCUUUAUAAAAAAUUCAGGGUCAAUGUACUACAAUGGAGUUUACCAUGAAUUCUACCAGUAUAACCCCAAUGGCUCUUAUAAUCCCAAUAUCUCCUAUAACAUUGUUUGGGGCCAUUCGGUUUCAACGGACCUCAUCAACUGGAUCAAUCUUGAGCCCGCAAUAGAACCGGAUACCCCAAGUGACAUAAGUGGUUGCUGGACUGGCUCAGCCACAAUUCUAUCUGGUGAUCAACCGGUCAUCAUAUACACUGGUCUCGUCGACAUACAGAAGCAUCAGGUCCAAAACAUUGCGCUUCCAAAAAACCGGUCUGAUCCAUACCUGAGGGAAUGGACCAAAGCACACAAUAACCCAGUUAUCCAACCGGUCGUACCAGGCUUGAACUCGAGCCAGUUCAGGGAUCCGACAACCGGUUGGAUCGGACCAGAUGGACUAUGGAGAAUAGCAGUUGGUGCUGAGUUGAACAGCUAUAGUGCUGCACUUUUGUACAAGAGUGAAGACUUCUUGAAUUGGACUAGAGUUGAACACCCACUAUAUUCAUCCAAUUCAUCCAAUAUGUGGGAGUGUCUGGAUUUUUUUGCAGUAUUGCCGGGAAGUGGGGGUGGAUUGGACUUGUCUUCAGCAAUCCCAAAUGGCGCCAAGCAUGUCCUCAAAGUUAGCAUGAAUUGCACUGAUGACGUGUACAUGAUUGGGGUUUAUGAUCUCAAACGUGAUGCUUUUGUGCCCGAUACUGUCCUAAAUGACAGUCGGCUCUGGCCGAGGAUUGAUUAUGGGAAUUUCUAUGCUUCAAAAUCCUUCUUUGACUCAAAACAUGGCCGAAGGAUCAUAUGGGCUUGGAGUAGCGAGACAGAUAGUUCUUCAGAUGAUGUUGCAAAAGGCUGGGCAGGAAUCCAUGUAAGAAAAUUUACCCUUAAUUGGCUGUAAUUGCAUCAAACCAAAAAACUGAUUUAACUGAUGUAACAAAUCAGUGUAACAUAUUUAAUCUCAUUUUUUUAUUAUUACAUUUAGUCAAUCCCAAGGACAAUUUGGUUAGACAGCCAUGGCAAGCAGUUGCUGCAAUGGCCAGUUGAAGAGAUUGAGUCCCUUCGAACAAAUGAAAUCAACCAUCAAGCAUUAGAGCUGAAGAAGGGAGAUCUAUUUGAGAUCAAGGGAAUUGAGAAUUUGCAGGUAAUUUCCUUUUCACAAACGUGCUUACCUGGUCUUCCAAAGAAUUUUUCUUACCUCAAAAAGCUAACCAGGCACAUCAUUUUCUUGAAACAGGCUGACGUCGAGAUAGAUUUUGAGCUGACGUCCAUCGAUGACGCCGACCCUUUUGAUCCUUCCUGGCUUUUUGACGCUGAGAAGCACUGCCGGGAAGCGGGUGCGUCAGUUCAUGGUGGCAUAGGGCCAUUCGGACUUGUUAUUCUGGCCUCCGACAACAUGGAGGAGCACACUGAUGUGCACUUCCGAAUUUACAAAUCACAACAAAAUUACAUGGUCCUCAUGUGCUCUGAUCUAAGAAGGUUAGUGCUUAUAUUUUUUUUCCCUAGUCUUUUCCAUAAAUGUCCAUAUCUAUUGAUGUCUGGAAAUUAAAAGGAAAUAUUUUCAUUUGUUUUUGUAGGUCUUCCCUGAGACCAGGACUGUACACACCAGCCUAUGGGGGCUUCUUUGAAUUUGACUUUGAAAAGGAAAGAAAGAUAUCUCUCAGAACUCUGGUGAGUUGGGAGGCUUUGUCAUUUAUCUUAUUAUUCACUUCAUGACAGAACUGAAAAUCAACAACGCCAUGCAGAUUGAUCGGUCUGCAGUGGAGAGCUUUGGCGGCGGUGGCAGGGUCUGCAUCAUGGCUAGAGUUUAUCCAGUGGCGCUUGCCGAUGACAUCAGCUGUGCCCACAUGUAUGCCUUCAACAAUGGAAGUGCCACGGUCAUAGUGCCGCAGCUUAGGGCAUGGAGCAUGAGAAGAGCACAAGCGAGUUUUUAAUGCAGAAGAGCAAUUCUAAUUGACAUGUGAUUGGAGGACCAUCUUAAUCUAAUCACUUGUUGAUUUCAAUAUUUAGCAUGGGUAGCUGAAGUAGAGACAAUUGGUAAGUAAGCAUAGUAUGUGCUUAUUGUCAGCAUUGGCAUCAAUGCCCAUGUUUUAUGAUUUAAAUUUGCAGAGGUUCGGAGUGAAUAAUAUGAGCUUGUGCAUGCCAGAAUUCCUGAUGAAAAUGUGUUUGUGCUUGCGAGAUUGUAAGAUACAGUACUGCUCUUCACUGUGGUCCCUGAAUGAUAUGGUUUAAGGACAUUUGUUGCUUCAGUUUUGUAGUAGUUCGGCUACCACCAGAAUAUUCAAAAACACAGAAUGAAGAUGUCAAGGUUAGAACCCCGUCAAACAAAAAACUGAAAAGUGAAAACACAGAAAUGGGUUUCCAUGAAGUCGACAAAAUAGCAGCCGAUACAAUCAGAAUAGGUCCACUUACCAACGAUUGACAUGCAACAUCUAAUUUUUGUUCAAGUUCCAUGAAAUGCUUGCUGUUCCUGUAAUCCAUUAAAAAUGCUUGCUUUUCCAUGAAGUUUAUGUUAUUUAUAUGUUUUCUGAAAAAUAUUUAUACAAUAUAAAAAGGUUUGCGUCAUUGAAAAAUUGUUUUUUACCAUACAAAAAACGUAGCUGACAUUUAAAAAAAUAUUCACGUGUUUCCAAAAUAUGCUCAAGCAUUUCAAAAAUAUGCUGGUCACAUUUUAAAAAAUGUUUAUGCAAUAUACUUUUUUUUCAUAUUUUUAACAAUAUGCUUCAUGCCAUUAAAAAAAUUUAAUAUGUAUUUGAAAUUCGUUUAAUAUGUAUCCAAAAAAUAUUCAAAACAUGUACUUAAAAAAAAUUAGAUCAUGUAUUUGAAAAAUAUUCAAUGUGUAUAAAAAAACUUUCCACGUGUAAACAAAAAAUGUACAACAUGUAUUUAAAAAUGUAAAAUUUUGUAGGAAAAAUAUAAAUAAAGCACUGGAAUCUGGAAAAAUUAAAAGAAUGCGUGGAAACUUCUAAAACCGGGAAUAGAAGAUUUCCAAAACCAGCAACAUUGAGCCAGCCCAUUCAGUGAUCGCCUACCAUCUCGUAGUAACCGAGAUAUAGCUGCGCUUGAAAAUCCUCCUGUAUGUCCCAGCCCAAUGGUAGAAGACAGAGUGAGCUAGAAAGCUAAAUGGGCCCACCUAUGGACUUCAACUUAUACAAGAAACCAUUUUGGGAAUCCGGCUUUUUCUAUUGUUUUUCUAUCGGUUUUACCAGCUUUUUGCCUUCUUAUUUUCUUUCAUAUUUCCUAUUUAUUUUAGUUUAGAAAUAAUAAUUUUGUAAAUUGAGCUUAUUUGUUUUAAAAAAACAUUAUCAUAAUUAUUUAUAAAAUGUUCUGCAUUUUAAAAUAGAAAUUUCAAGUAUUAUAAAUUUCCACUUUUGAAGUAUUUUUUCGUGGUUUUUGGAAAAUCGAAUGAAAAGACCACUGAAAAAGAAAAACGAAGCCACUAGAAAGUUGUACAGAUNNNNNNNNNNNNNNNNNNNNNNNNNNNNNNNNNNNNNNNNNNNNNNNNNNNNNNNNNNNNNNNNNNNNNNNNNNNNNNNNNNNNNNNNNNNNNNNNNNNNNNNNNNNNNNNNNNNNNNNNNNNNNNNNNNNNNNNNNNNNNNNNNNNNNNNNNNNNNNNNNNNNNNNNNNNNNNNNNNNNNNNNNNNNNNNNNNNNNNNNNNNNNNNNNNNNNNNNNNNNNNNNNNNNNNNNNNNNNNNNNNNNNNNNNNNNNNNNNNNNNNNNNNNNNNNNNNNNNNNNNNNNNNNNNNNNNNNNNAAAAAAAUUCAGUUCAAAGAGGAGAAAUGUACUUGGUCUACUUCCCACGCCAUCCAUCAGUCACGGUCUGAACGGUAUUACUCGCUCAGAACAAGCCUCUCAACCAGCGGCCGGCUGAAACUCUGAUUUUGUCUCCAGAAAAAGCGGCGAUCGCGUCGCCGUAUGUUGUCGAACGAGAAGAGCUGUAAUCCUAUACAAAUCGAAGGAAACCGAGAUGAAAUAAGGAUCCCAAAACUGAAAUGCCAACCGAAACUCAUUAUCAAGUCUGAGAAUUCUAUGCCAUGAUCAGCUCAAAGAGAACAAAUGUAUCAAGUACAGUACAGUACAGGUAGCAAAGAAAGAUUUGCACACAACACGCAGCAGCAGCAGCAGCAGCAGUCGAGUGUUUCAGUUCCCGACUAACGCCCAGAAAUCAGAUGAACGAAACCAAGCUACGCCACUAGUCACAAGGGUGACCAACCAGGGACAUACACUGUCUGGGACGCCUCCGGUUUCUUCGACGAGUUUCGUCUGUCGAGUAUUACAACUUACUACACCUUCUGAGUUUGGGUCUUGUGCUACAAUAAACGGCGCAGGGUUUAACGGCCUUCUGUGAGCUGCGCUGCUGUAUCGAACAAGUGUUGUUUCAGGAGGUGGUCAAGGACUGCUACUCCCUCCUCUGCCAGGUGCUCUUCUUGGUACUCCCUCCGUCCGGAAAUACUUGUCACCGAAAUGGGUGUAUCUAGACAUAUUUUAGUUCUAAAUACAUCCUUUUUUAUUCAUUUAUGCGACAAGUAUUUCUGGACGGAGGGAGUACAAGAUAGCUUCCCUUGGAAUCAGCAGCGCACGGAUCAAGCUUUCAAACAGAUAUAUAGCUAGAUUUCCUACAACAACCGAAGGAUUAAUGACACAUACCUGAGAAGUGAGAACCAGCCACCAGGUCAAAAGUCUUCGGUGGAAAGGCCUGAUUCCUCAAGACCACGACUCACCCGGACAUCGAGUCCUUUGCUCCAUCUGCACUCUAUCUACAUGCCUACAGCCAACACAAGUUCAGAAGCUCCAUUAGGAAUGAAGUUGCACAAAACAAUACUCCCUCCAUCCAAAUUACUCAUCGCUGAAAUGGAUGUAUCUAGAACUAAAAUACAUCUAGAUACAUCCAUACGUGCGACAAGUAAUUCGGAACGGAGGGAGUAUAACUGUAGUGGUUGGUUAGGCCUACAAACCACCAUUUCCUGCACCCAGAUCAUACCAGGUCUCCAUUUGAAAAAAAAAAAGGCCGCCACUUGGUCUGUACUUAUUUGACAGUCACUAAUCCACAAAUAGUCACAUUAUAUUACACCAGGAUCGAUCGAUGCAAUCAGUCAGUAACAAAAAUUACAGGUAUUUCAAGUAAAUUCAGACUUACAGACAUAUCGCACGCCACAGACGAACCAAUCACAACGUCCAUGCAUCAAACACAAACAGCGGCACAUGCCGCUAAUUACGACAAGCAGAAAUUAAACACACUCACACUGACAGAAAGAGGAAUCAGCGGAAACGAAACUAUCCACGCGGUGUUGGUUACGCGACGCCUCCCCAGCUUGAUGCUCCUGGUCCCUUUCAAGGAUGCCCGCAUG